GUGGGGAAUCUUGCGCAAUGGGCGAAAGCCUGACGCAGCCAUGCCGCGUGGAUGAUGAAGGUCUUAGGAUUGUAAAAUCCUUUCACCGGUGAAGAUAAUGACUGUAGCCGGAGAAGAAGCCCCGGCUAACUUCGUGCCAGCAGCCGCGGUAAUACGAAGGGGGCUAGCGUUGCUCGGAAUUACUGGGCGUAAAGGGAGCGUAGGCGGACAUUUAAGUCAGGGGUGAAAUCCCGAGGCUCAACCUCGGAACUGCCUUUGAUACUGGGUGUCUUGAGUGUGAGAGAGGUGAGUGGAACUCCGAGUGUAGAGGUGAAAUUCGUAGAUAUUCGGAAGAACACCAGUGGCGAAGGCGACUCACUGGCUCAUUACUGACGCUGAGGCUCGAAAGCGUGGGGAGCAAACAGGAUUAGAUACCCCAGUAGUCC
rnacentral:rRNA from 1 species